rnacentral:rRNA from 1 species
AUUGAACGCUGGCGGCAGGCCUAACACAUGCAAGUCGAACGAGUGGCGGACGGGUGAGUAAUGUAUGGGAAACUGCCUGAUGGAGGGGGAUAACUACUGGAAACGUUAGCUAAUACCGCAUACCAUACGUUGUGCCCAGUGGGGAUUAGCUAGUAGGUGGGCUAAAGGCUCACCAAGGCGACGAUCCCUAGCUGGUCUGAGAGGGUGACCGGCCACACUGGAACUGAGACACGGUCCAGACUCCUACGGGAGGCAGCAGUAGGGAAUAUUGGACAAUGGGCGAAAGCCUGACGCAGCAACGCCGCGUGAGUGAAGAAGGUUUUCGGGUCGUAAAGCACUGUUAUCGGGGAAGCGUUAUCUAAAGAGGAAGCACCGGCUAACUCCGUGCCAGCAGCCGCGGUAAUUC